AGGGAGGCGUAGGCGGCUGAUUAAGUCAGCGGUGAAAGGUAGCAGCUUAACUGUUUUACAUGCCGUUGAUACUGGUUAGCUUGAGUUGACAGAAGGCAGAUAGAAUUCCUGAUGUAGCGGUGAAAUGCUUAGAUAUCAGGAGGAAUACCGAUUGCGAAGGCAGUCUGCUGCAGUCACACUGACGCUGAGGCUCGAAGGUGCGGGGAUCAAACAGGAUUAGAUACCCCAGU
rnacentral:rRNA from 1 species